GGCUACCAUGCAAGUCGAACGAGAACGGGCCUAGCUUGCUAGGCUGUCAGCUAAGUGGCGCCCGGGUGAGUAAUGUAUAGUUGAUCUGCCCCUUGGAGGGGGAUCNCCAUUGGAAACGAUGAUUAAUACCCCAUACUCCUAUAUGCGUAAGGUAUAUAGGGAAAUGUCUUUUCGCCAAGGGAUGAGACUAUAUGGCAUCAGGUAGUUGGUGGGGUAAUGGCCUACCAAGCCAAUGACGCCUAGCUGGUCUGAGAGGAUGAUCAGCCACACUGGUACUGAGACACGGACCAGACUCCUACGGGAGGCAGCAGUGGGGAAUAUUGCACAAUGGGGGAAACCCUGAUGCAGCAACGCCGCGUGGAGGAUGACGCAUUUCGGUGUGUAAACUCCUUUUAUUAGGGAAGAUAAUGACGGUACCUAAUGAAUAAGCACCGGCUAACUCCGUGCCAGCAGCCGCGGUAAUACGGAGGGUGCAAGCGUUACUCGGAAUCACUGGGCGUAAAGCGCGCGCAGGCGGUUUGAUAAGUUGGAUGUGAAAUCCUAUGGCUCAACCAUAGAACUGCAUCCAAAACUGUCAAACUAGAGUCUGGGAGAGGAAGAUGGAAUUAGUUGUGUAGGGGUAAAAUCCGUAGAGAUAACUAGGAAUACCAAAAGCGAAGGCGAUCUUCUGGAACAGUACUGACGCUGAGGCGCGAAAGCGUGGGGAGCAAAACAGGAUUAGAUACCCUGGUAGUCCACGCCCUAAACGAUGAAUGUUAGUCGUUGGAAGGCUAGUCCUUUCAGUGAUGCAGCUAACGCAUUAAACAUUCCGCCUGGGGAAGUACGGUCGCAAGAUUAAAACUCAAAAGGAAUAGACGGGGGACCCCGCACAAGUGGUGGGAGCAUGUGGGUUUAAUUUCGA
rnacentral:rRNA from 1 species